rnacentral:rRNA from 1 species
UACGAAGGGGGCUAGCGUUGCUCGGAAUCACUGGGCGUAAAGCGCACGUAGGCGGAUUGCUAAGUCAGGGGUGAAAUCCUGGAGCUCAACUCCAGAACUGCCUUUGAUACUGGCGACCUUGAGUCCGGGAGAGGUGAGUGGAACUGCGAGUGUAGAGGUGAAAUUCGUAGAUAUUCGCAAGAACACCAGUGGCGAAGGCGGCUCACUGGCCCGAUACUGACGCUGAGACGCGAAAGCGUGGGGAGCAAACAGG